rnacentral:rRNA from 1 species
AUGAACGCUGGCGGCGUGCCUAAUACAUGCAAGUCGCGCGAACAGACGAGGAGCUUGCUCCUCUGACGUUAGCGGCGGACGGGUGAGUAACACGUGGAUAACCUACCUAUAAGACUGGGGUAACUUCGGGAAACCGGAGCUAAUACCGGAGAAUAUAUUGAACCGCAUGGUUCAAUAGUGAAAGACGGUUUUGCUGUCACUUAUAGAUGGAUCCGCGCCGCAUUAGCUAGUUGGUAAGGUAACGGCUUACCAAGGCAACGAUGCGUAGCCGACCUGAGAGGGUGAUCGGCCACACUGGAACUGAGACACGGUCCAGACUCCUACGGGAGGCAGCAGUAGGGAAUCUUCCGCAAUGGGCGAAAGCCUGACGGAGCAACGCCGCGUGAGUGAUGAAGGUCUUCGGAUCGUAAAACUCUGUUAUUAGGGAAGAACAAAUGUGUAAGUAACUAUGCACGUCUUGACGGUACCUAAUCAGAAAGCCACGGCUAACUACGUG